rnacentral:antisense_RNA from 1 species
UGGGGGCGUGUCCGUCUGCUUUCAGCCUUUGGCAAGUUGGUGGGAGCUAAAAUCAGUCAUUUUCCUGCGAAGGCCUGAGGAGGAAAAGAGAGGCAGUAACUGAGCAAUAAUAUGCUGUAUGAGCCUCCUGCUCUGCUGCCCAUUACCUGCGUCACCUCCACAAGCUACUGAACCUCAAGGAACCCAUCUCCUCAUCAGGAAAAAAAAUAAGCUUUAUCAGGGUCUGAACUCUGUAGGUCUUCACCACGGCUCAGGAGGAUGAGGAGCAGUGACAGGCCAAACUACGAGAAAAGACAGAGGGAAUCAAACUCAACACUGCGUCUAAACCUCCUCCACCACUGUUGAAGGGAUCCUGGCAUCAGAUGGGGAACAGCUCUAAAUCAAAAUAACCUCACUACUGUGCUCUUCUGUAAAACCAGGCAAAGAUCAGACAAACAUGA